rnacentral:rRNA from 1 species
UACGUAGGGCGCAAGCGUUGUCCGGAAUUAUUGGGCGUAAAGAGCUCGUAGGCGGCCUGUUGCGUCCGCUGUGAAAUCCCGGGGCUCAACCCCGGGCGUGCAGUGGAUACGGGCUGGCUGGAGGCAGGCAGGGGAGAACGGAAUUCCUGGUGUAGCGGUGAAAUGCGCAGAUAUCAGGAGGAACACCGGUGGCGAAGGCGGGUCUCUGGGCAUCUCCUGACGCUGAGGCGCGAAAGCGUGGGGAGCAAACGGG